GAAAGUAAAAAAUAAAAAAUAUCAGACAUUUAACAUCCCUCCGAUGAUUCCCAAAUGUUCAAAACAUCUUUGCUGUUUAACAUGUUUAGCAUUUUAACUUCAAAAAUCCCCCGGCGCCUCUCACAUCGGCCCCGGGACCUUCAAGCAAGAAAAAAAAAGUAAAAAUAAAUUGUAUUGAUCGCAAAAGUGAGAGCACUUGCUGAAGAUAAAUACAAGAGAAAAAGAAAAGGAGAUGAGAGGAAAGAAAAUCAGGAGAUAUACACUGCAUAAAACGGAGACGGAAAAAAAAGAGAGAGAGAGAGAGAGACGGAGACAGGCCAAAUAAACCAGGGGCGAUUUUUAGUAUCUGGGGCCCUGUUCUGUAAGAAACACAAGAAGGGAAGGGAGGGAGGAAAAGAGAGGAGAAAAGUGGAGAAGAGCAAAAACAUCUUUGGGAGUGUGUACAAAGAGAAUGAAAACACACACACACACACACACACACCCGAAGGCCGGGGUCACAGUCUGAACGCUGGAGCGGCGCAGCGCGCCCGGCGGCUACGCAGGAACACCUCGCUCUGCCUUUAAUAUCGCCUGCCCACCGCACAGAUUUCAAAACAGAUAGUCCAAAACAAAGUACAAAAAAAGAGAAAAAGAAAAAAAAUAAAGGGAAAAAAUCAACGCCCCCAAACUCGCUCACACGCCGUUCUCAAACAGCCUCCACCGUGUACAUAAACUCCACGGCCCCCAUGCAGAUGUAGCGCAGCCUUGUUAGGUCGGGCUCAGAGGGUGGGAAUGGGUAAAUUCAACAACAAUUGCAGCCUCUGGGGAUCCGCCGCACAAACUCACAGACACGCUAAACUCUCCCUCUCUCUCUCAUAUCACGCUCGCCCCCGUCUCGAUCGCCCCUCUGUACGCGCACGCGGUUAGAGAGCAAGAAGUGAAAGUUGCUGCUCAGCAGUUUGACCAAAGCUGACUGACCAGGACUACAGCGAGUCUGUCAAGAAGCGGCUUCGUUAUGCACCAGAGCGUGAGGCAGGCAUCCCAAGGAACCAAGGAGACCCAAACCAGAGUCAACCAAACCAGAGUCAAGCUUAAAUUAACCCAACUCACAGUUUCCUGCCCUGGUUCAGAAAGUAUAAGCCUUAACCUCAUGGACGCUGUUCUUCCACGGACAAUAGACUGUUGUUCACACAGUCAUAAACGAGUCAAAUAUUUUUAAAAACACAAUCUAACGUGUUUUCAACGUUUAAGUCACCGACCUCUUUUUGGAUAACUUACAUGUCAAGCUUCAACAUGGAUUCAAUAUUUCUGCCUAACCAUGUUUCGAUGACUCAUAUUUUCAUAUUUUUUUAUUAGGACUAGAGGAUAUAGAAACAUAAGCCUGCAGUGGUCAAGAAACAAGCAUUUGUUUCGCCCCUGAUGAUGCUAGCUAACAUGCUAGGCUAAUGUUAGCAUAUGUACUCUGUUUUAAUAAUUGAUAAUUAUUAAAACAUGUGCAAACUUA